CAACCCUCAGGCCCUGCCUGGCGUUGGAGGACUGCGCACCGCAGCCUCCCAAAGCGAGCGGCGGCGGCGCCCCGAAACCGAACGCAGUAGUUUUCUCUCGUUCUGGGUCCGGGUCGUUGUCCUGCCGGAAAAACCCCCCAUCUAUUCAAUGG
rnacentral:misc_RNA from 1 species